rnacentral:rRNA from 1 species
GCCGGUGGCCUUGGCGGGGCUGUCACACCCGUUCCCUUCCCGAACACGGACGUUAAGGGCCCCCGCGGCGAUGGUACUGCGCCCAGGAGCGCGGGAGAGCAGCGCGCCGCCGGUC